CGUAGGGGGCAAGCGUUGUCCGGAUUUAUUGGGCGUAAAGCGCUCGCAGGUGGUUCGUUGCGUCGUGCGUGAAAGACCCCGGCUCAACUGGGGAGGGUCGUGCGAUACGGGCGAACUGGAGGCCAGUAGGGGGAUGCGGAAUUCCGGGUGUAGUGGUGGAAUGCGUAGAGAUCCGGAGGAACACCAGCGGCGAAGGCGGCAUCCUGGACUGGUCCUGACACUCAUGAGCGAAAGCGUGGGGAGCGAUCCGGAUUAGAUACCCGGGUAGUCCACGCUGUAAACGAUGCGCACUAGGUGUCGGGGGUAUCGACCCCCUCGGUGCCGCAGCUAACGCGAUAAGUGCGCCGCCUGGGGACUACGGCCGCAAGGCUA
rnacentral:rRNA from 1 species